rnacentral:tRNA from 1 species
GGGGCAGUGAUCUAGCCUGGAAUGAUACCUCCUUGACGUGGAGGAAGUCGGUGGUUCAAAUCCGCCCUGCCCCACCA